GAUAAGUGCUGAAAGCAUCUAAGCACGAAACUUGCCCCGAGAUGAGUUCUCCCUGACUCCUUGAGAGUCCUGAAGGAACGUUGAAGACGACGACGUUGAUAGGCCGGGUGUGUAAGCGCAGCGAUGCGUUGAGCUAACCGGUACUAAUGAACCGUGAGGCUUAACCUUACAACGCCGAAGCUGUU
rnacentral:rRNA from 1 species